UGGGGAAUAUUGCACAAUGGGCGAAAGCCUGAUGCAGCGACGCCGCGUGAGGGAUGACGGCCUUCGGGUUGUAAACCUCUUUCAGUAGGGACGAAGCGCAAGUGACGGUACCUGCAGAAGAAGCACCGGCUAACUACGUGCCAGCAGCCGCGGUAAUACGUAGGGUGCGAGCGUUGUCCGGAAUUACUGGGCGUAAAGAGCUCGUAGGCGGUUUGUCACGUCGUCUGUGAAAUCCUAGGGCUUAACCCUGGACGUGCAGGCGAUACGGGCUGACUUGAGUACUACAGGGGAGACUGGAAUUUCUGGUGUAGCGGUGGAAUGCACAGAUAUCAGGAAGGACACCGAUGGCGAAGGCAGGUCUCUGGGUAGUAACUGACGCUGAGGAGCGAAAGCAUGGGUAGCGAACAGG
rnacentral:rRNA from 1 species